GAAGAGUGAACCUCAGCAAGCCAGAUGAUCUUCUCAGCCAUUGUCUUUGGACCUGUGGCUACAGAUGAUUUGGGCCUGCUGAUCAAAUCGUGUUCAUCUGUCAUAAAAAGCUAUUUGACAGGGUGUGAAGCCGUCUGGGAACUGUUUCCUCCUGCUCUGAAUGCAAGCACUGCGUGGAGAAGACCUCCCUGAAUCUGGUGCCCUUUACCACGGGCUGUAUGGAAGGGCUGCUCGUGACGCGGCUGCUCCCCAGGAGCCUGGCUGCAGGAACAGCCUAGCUCCGUUUGCCUCCUUCUGCUCACUAGAGCAUAGCCCAAUGCUGCUGAGAGCCCUGGGGCCUCCCCAGGGUUACCUCCGCCUCGGAUGCCAACAAACGCUGCAGAUGCCCCACAAAGAGCCGCUGCAGCACGGCCUGGCCAGGUGCCGUCACUCACAUUUCAUAUCAGAGAGUUUAUAAGAAGAUGGUUUCCAGGUGCUGCAGAUCGCCUGCAAUGUGGAGGGAACAGCUGGAAGUGGAUGGCGCAGUUCUCAGCAUCAGCAUCUUCCUAAGACACGAGGUUGAAUUUUUCCUGCUUUUGGUUCUUGAGGGAGGGGGUAUGACUGAAGAGCAUUAAGCAUGUUUGUCGCCAUCAAUACCACCUGACGUUUCCAUUCUGGGGAAGAUUUCAGAGCAGCAGUCUUAAUUCCUAGGUGUCUGAAGUGAGGUUGGAUGGAUCUCGGGUCCUAGGCAUGGCUCUUCCCCCUUGGAUGCCGUAUCCUGGGCUGACACCUGAGCUAGUGCU